AGCUGAAUUCGAAGUGUCACGGUUUCAUACUAAAAGUUCAAAGGCAAAUCUCGUGCAUCAUUCAUAUAAAUACUGAGUUCUUCAACUGUUUUGCUUUAUUACUGCAAAUAACAUACGUGUGAAUAUGAGCAAGAGGCGAAAUUCGAAUUUUACCGAUGCAAAACUACAGGACCCAGUGUCAUCCUAAAUAUGAAAAAAGAAGAUGUGGUAGGACUGCCAAUAUUACAACUAUC
rnacentral:lncRNA from 1 species